CCAGACUCCUACGGGAGGCAGCAGUGGGGAAUAUUGCACAAUGGGGGAAACCCUGAUGCAGCGACGCCGCGUGAGCGAUGAAGUAUUUCGGUAUGUAAAGCUCUAUCAGCAGGGAAGAAAAUGACGGUACCUGACUAAGAAGCCCCGGCUAACUACGUGCCAGCAGCCGCGGUAAUACGUAGGGGGCAAGCGUUAUCCGGAUUUACUGGGUGUAAAGGGAGCGUAGACGGCGGUGCAAGCCAGAUGUGAAAGCCCGGGGCUCAACCCCGGGACUGCAUUUGGAACUGUGCUGCUAGAGUGUCGGAGAGGCAGGCGGAAUUCCUAGUGUAGCGGUGAAAUGCGUAGAUAUCAGGAGGAACACCGGUGGCGAAGGCGGCCUGCUGGACUGCAACUGACGUUGAGGCCCGAAAGCGUGGGGAGCAAACAGGAUUAGAUACCCGCGUAUG
rnacentral:rRNA from 1 species